rnacentral:rRNA from 2 species
GGAAGGCAGCAGGCACGCAAAUUACCAAAUCCCGGCUCGGGGAGGUAGUGACGAAAAAUAACGAUACGGGACUCCUCGAGACCCCGUUAUCGGAAUGAGUACGCUCUAAACCCUCUAACGAGGACCUACCGGAGGGCAAGACUAAUGCCAGCCGCUGCGGUAAUUUUAGCUCCGGUAGCGUAUACUAAAAUUGUUGCAGUUAAAAAGCUCGUAGUUGGACAUCUGCUGUGGACGCGGGGAGUCGCUCGCGCGGUCUCCCCUGCGCACCCGGCAUUCUGCCCGCCACCUCGGAGGUGAUUUUAAUCGGUCGUCUCCGGGUGGAUGGCGGUGAUCGCUUUGCCAAAAUUAGAGUGCUCCAAGCAGGCCGUCCGUCGCUCGAAUAGUAAUGCACGGAACGAUGGAAGACGACCUCGGAUCCGGGUUCUUUGGGUGUGGGUAUCCGAGGUAAUGACUAAUAGGAGCAGACGGGGGCAUUCGUAUUCCGACGCUAGAGGUGAAAUUCUUGGACCGUCGGAAGACGAGCUACUGCGAAAGCAUUUGCCAAGAAUGCUUCCAUUAACCAAGAACGAAAGUGAGAGGCUCAAAGAAGAUUAGAUACCUUUGUAGUUCUGACCCUAAACGAUACCCGCCAGCGAUCCGGCUGCGUGAGAACCUAACGCGCCGGGCAGCUUGCCCGGGAAACCUGAGUUCAGCUCC